rnacentral:tRNA from 1 species
GGAUGAGUGGCAGAGCGGUUGAAUGCACCGGUCUUGAAAACCGGCGAGGGUGCAAGCCCUCCGUGAGUUCGAAUCUCACCUCAUCCGCCA